rnacentral:rRNA from 1 species
CCCUUAGAUGUUCUGGGCCGCACGCGCGCUACACUGACCAGUGCAACAAGCAUCCGUCCUUGGCCGACAGGCCCGGGCAAUCUUUGAACGCUGGUCGUGAUGGGGAUAGACUUUUGCAAUUUUUGGUCUUCAACGAGGAAUUCCUAGUAAACGCAAGUCAUCAACUUGCAUUGAUUACGUCCCUGCCCUUUGUACACACCGCCCGUCGCACCUACCGAUUGAAUGGUCCGGUGAAGCCUCCGGAUUGGCGCGCACCUCGGUGCCGCCGAGAAGUUGGCUAAACCUUAUCAUUUAGAGGAAGGUGAAGUCGUAACA